CUUGACAUCCAGCGAACUUUCCAGAGAUGGAUUGGUGCCUUCGGGAACGCUGAGACAGGUGCUGCAUGGCUGUCGUCAGCUCGUGUUGUGAAAUGUUGGGUUAAGUCCCGNAACGAGCGCAACCCUUUAUCCUUUGUUGCCAGCGAUUCGGUCGGGAACUCAAAGGAGACUGCCGGUGAUAAACCGGAGGAAGGUGGGGAUGACGUCAAGUCAUCAUGGCCCUUACGAGUAGGGCUACACACGUGCUACAAUGGCGCAUACAAAGAGAAGCGACCUCGCGAGAGCAAGCGGACCUCAUAAAGUGCGUCGUAGUCCGGAUCGGAGUCUGCAACUCGACUCCGUGAAGUCGGAAUCGCUAGUAAUCGUGGAUCAGAAUGCCACGGUGAAUACGUUCCCGGGCCUUGUACACACCGCCCGUCACACCAUGGGAGUGGGUUGCAAAAGAAGUAGGUAGCUUAACCUUCGGGAGGGCGCUUACCACUUUGUGAUUCAUGACUGGGGUGAAGUCGUAACAAGGUAGGCGUAGCGAG
rnacentral:rRNA from 1 species